rnacentral:rRNA from 1 species
AUUGAACGCUGGCGGCAGGCUUAACACAUGCAAGUCGAGCGGGGGAAGGUAGCUUGCUACCGGACCUAGCGGCGGACGGGUGAGUAAUGCUUAGGAAUCUGCCUAUUAGUGGGGGACAACAUCUCGAAAGGGAUGCUAAUACCGCAUACGUCCUACGGGAGAAAGCAGGGGAUCUUCGGACCUUGCGCUAAUAGAUGAGCCUAAGUCGGAUUAGCUAGUUGGUGGGGUAAAGGCCUACCAAGGCGACGAUCUGUAGCGGGUCUGAGAGGAUGAUCCGCCACACUGGGACUGGGGCACGGCCCAGACUCCUACGGGAGGCAGCAGUGGGGAAUAUUGGACAAUGGGGGGAACCCUGAUCCAGCCAUGCCGCGUGUGUGAAGAAGGCCUUAUGGUUGUAAAGCACUUUAAGCGAGGAGGAGGCUACUUUAGUUAAUACCUAGAGAUAGUGGACGUUACUCGCAGAAUAAGCACCGGCUAACUCUGUGCCAGCAGCCGCCGUAA